rnacentral:rRNA from 1 species
UUAGCGGCGGACGGGUGAUAACACGUGGGUAACCUGCCUCAAAGUGGGGGAUAGCCUUCCGAAAGGAAGAUUAAUACCGCAUAAGCCUACAGUGCCGCAUGGCACCGUAGGAAAAGGAGCAAUCCGCUUUGAGAUGGACCCGCGGCGCAUUAGCUAGUUGGUGAGGUAACGGCUCACCAAGGCGACGAUGCGUAGCCGACCUGAGAGGGUGAUCGGCCACAUUGGAACUGAGACACGGUCCAGACUCCUACGGGAGGCAGCAGUGGGGAAUAUUGCACAAUGGGCGAAAGCCUGAUGCAGCAACGCCGCGUGAGUGAUGAAGGCCUUCGGGUCGUAAAGCUCUUUGAUCAGGGAUGAUAAUGACAGUACCUGAAAAACAAGCCACGGCUAACUACGUGCCAGCAGCCGCGGUAAUACGUAGGUGGCGAGCGUUGUCCGGAAUUACUGGGCGUAAAGGAUGCGUAGGUGGAUAUUUAAGUGGGAUGUGAAAUCCCCGGGCUCAAC